GUACAACUUUCAGCGGUGGAUGUCUAGGUUCCCACAACGAUGAAGAACGCGGCGAAAUGCGAUACGUAAUGCGAAUUGCAAGACCUCGUGAAUCAUUAAGAUUUUGAACGCACAUUGCGCUUUCGGGAUUUUCCCGGUAGCAUGCUUGUCUGAGUGUCUGUG
rnacentral:rRNA from 1 species